rnacentral:rRNA from 1 species
GUAAUAGCUCACUGGUCGAGUCGGCCUGCGCGGAAGAUGUAACGGGGCUAAACCAUGCACCGAAGCUGCGGCAGCGACGCUGAUGCGUUGUUGGGUAGGGGAGCGUUCUGUAAGCCUGUGAAGGUGGCCUGUGAGGGUUGCUGGAGGUAUCAGAAGUGCGAAUGCUGACAUAAGUAACGAUAAAGCGGGUGAAAAGCCCGCUCGCCGGAAGACCAAGGGUUCCUGUCCAACGUUAAUCGGGGCAGGGUGAGUCGACCCCUAAGGCGAGGCCGAAAGGCGUAGUCGAUGGGAAACGGGUUAAUAUUCCCGUACUUGGUGUUACUGCGAAGGGGGGACGGAGAAGGCUAUGUUGGCCGGGCGACGGUUGUCCCGGUUUAAGCGUGUAGGUGUGUGUUCCAGGUAAAUCCGGUUCACUUUAACACUGAGGCGUGA